GGGGUAUAGCUCAGCUGGGAGAGUGCUUGACUGGCAGUCAAGAGGUCACGGGUUCGAUCCCCGUUAUCUCC
rnacentral:tRNA from 1 species